GCAUUUUCCCACCAGAGAUGUCUCCAUCAAAUGUACUUGUUGCAGAUAAAAGGCUGUGCGUGAUAUAUUGCACAAACAACUUUUGAGGUUAAUUUCCAAAGUUAAAUGGGUUUCCAUCACAUUUUCAACUCUACUGAUCGUUUUGUCACAAACAUGUUGCGUUUUAUAGCAAAUGUGCACACUCUUCUAUUGGCAUGUGGCUCUAGCCAAUAGUUCCCAGAUACAGCGUGGGUAGGCUACCUACAUGAUGAUAUUAUUUUGGACAAAAGAGAUCAUUUCUAUUUGUCAAAUGACAGCCAAGCAUGAUCAUCAUGUCACCAGAAGAGCCUAGAUAUUUAUUGGAAAGAAGAAUCAAGCUCAUCAUCGCGCACUUUCACCACCCUGUGUAGUUUAUCGUAAUUUAUUUAAUCUGUAGCCUAAUAAACUGCAUGCUUUCCUGAGUCGUAGUGGGAGGACCACAACAUAUCACGUGACGCCAAAUUUAUUUUGAUAUUAUAUUAAUAUUAGCGCAUAAAGGUGCUUCCACUGCCAUUUCUCACAAUUAAUUUCUCACAAAAUGAUCCCACCUUGUCUAGCGUAUUUUGUUUUGUUGACAUCUGGAAAGUUUAGACAAAUUUGCUGUUUCCAUCACUCCUGUCGUGACAUUCUUUAUCCAACAUGUCCUUUACUCACAUAAAAAGUUGGCUGAAAACCUGGUUACUUUGACAGUAGAUUUUGCUUGUAUCAUGUGACUAAUGUGUUCUGGUUCAAAUGAGGUACACAUGUGACUGCAGCACAGUGCAUGGCUGGUCGUGAUUGUAAACAAAGCACAAUGAGAGUCAGGUUUCUCUCCACCCGCCUCCCUCAGAGGCUUUGUUUUCCUUUUUCCCGCCCUCAUACUCUCAGCUCAAAAGCAAUUUAGAUAAGAGGAACUGGCUGUGCAAGUGACUUCUUCACACACACCACUCCUCCUCAUCCAAUACUGCCCUCCCCUCUUCUUCCGGAACUCUGGAGGUUUGGCGGGGCUGGGUGUUUCACUCUGAAUCGCUGUUGAGCCACAAUCACAAGCCUCAGAAAAUCCUAUUUUUCUCCCAUUCACCUAACACUCUCUCAAUCUCACACAGAUCAGACCUACACAAACACAUUCUCUCCCUUUACUUAUACACACAGAUUCUUGCUUGCACUUUAAUAGAGGAGCCUACUGCUUAAUCACUCAGUGACACAUGGCCCAUGUUGUGUGGCAACUCAGCAACUCUCCUCUAUAGUGUAGUACAGUGAUGUCACCAGACUGAAAUGUGGUAGCCAACUGUGAUUGUCAGGGACCUAUGCCAAACUCUGCCCCCCACCCCACCCCAAAGUGUGAACUUACCCUCAUACAUAAAAAAGCAUUGGAUUGGUGUAAGAAAAAUGGUUGACUGUCUACACCAAUUAGCAUACCAGACGUGGCGUCAGCAGGAGAAGGUCCGCCCCCAUUCAUUCUUGAUGGCACACAGAGAAAUGUGCAGGGUAUUGUGGGAAAUGAGCGGCGAGAACCCGGCUAGCAGAGCGGGAGAAAAAGUUGGUGAAACAUCUUUGAUAUGUUGUAAUGGCCAGAUCCUCAAAGGGUUCUACAGCUGCACCAUCGAUAGCAUCCUGACCAGUUGCAUCACCGCCUGGUACAGCAACUGCUUGGCAUCUGACCUUAAGGCGCAACAGGCCCAGKACAUUACUGGGGCCAAGCUUCCUGCCAUCCAGGACCUAUAUAAUAGGCGGUGUCAGAGACUCC